UCCGGAGGGUGCGAUCGUUGUUCGGAAUCACUGGGCGUAAAGCGCGUGUAGGCGGCUUGGCAAGUCGGGUGUGAAAUCCCGAGGCUCAACCUCGGAACUGCACUCGAAACUGCUUGGCUAGAGUCCCGGAGAGGGUGGCGGAAUUCCCGGUGUAGGGGUGAAAUCCGUAGAUAUCGGGAGGAACACCAGUGGCGAAGGCGGCCACCUGGACGGUGACUGACGCUGAGACGCGAAAGCGUGGGGAGCAAACAGG
rnacentral:rRNA from 1 species